UAGUUUGUUGACAAUCCCGGUUUGCAAGCAAUCGACCGUCUUAAUGCCGGUUCACCUGCUCUGUUUGAAACAUUGCUCAGGCUGUGAAAACAUGCAUACUGAAAUGUCCCCUCUAUAUUUUGUCGGGAGAUGCAGAAACUGAAACAAGUCUGCAGACAAGGUGUCGGCAGCCUGUCUGCUCAGCAGGACAAUGCACCUCCGAACAGGAAAGGAAGGAACUCUUAAUCAUCCUCGUCACGACCGGAGGACGCCACACACGGGGCUUCCUAUGGGAGUGCAGGGCCCAGGGUUACCGGCACUGGGUGUGUCCGAUGGGAGCACACGCCACAAGACAGGUUGGGCCCUCGACUGUCUCCGCAUGUCCUCACAGGAAUUACUACUGUUUACUGUAAGGUUGGUACAGACUGACACAUCUAAACAACUAUUGGAUGGAUUGCUGUGAAAUCCUAGAUUCCCAGAGGAUGAGGACUUUGGUGACCUCUUGACCUUUUCCUCUGGCGCCACCAUGAGGCAAACAUUCACAGUGUUUGGGGCAAACGUCCCUACAGCUGAUGCAUAGAUUGAACAGAUUGCCAUGAAAGUAUACACACACAUUCAUGUUACUCUCAAGAUGAAUUGCAUUAACUUUGACGAACCCCUGACUGCAUCUGCUUCGAAACAGCAUGUAAGCAUUAUGAUUUUGGGCAUGUAAGCAAUGCUAAUGUUAGCAUUUAGCUCAAAGCACAGCUGGGCCUCAGUUUAGCCUGAGCUGCUGCCAUGGCUAUAACUAAAAGAGAACCUCUUCUGUGAAUGUUUAUCUGUGGUUUUUAUUUUGUUCUGGGAAUCAAAUGAUUACAAUUCUCUCAUUCUACAGAAUAUCAUCAAAGGAAUUUGUUACAGUUGAGCUCAUUGACAGGACGUAGAAAA